GAUGGUAUAGUUCAGUGGUAGAGUGCAUGCCUAGCACUCAUGAGGUCCUGGGUUCAAUCCCCAGUACCGCCG
rnacentral:tRNA from 1 species